rnacentral:rRNA from 1 species
CACGUAGGGUGCAAGCGUUGUUCGGAUUCAUUGGGCGUAAAGGGUGCGUAGGCGGCGCGGUAAGUCGGGUGUGAAAUCUCGGAGCUUAACUCCGAAACUGCAUUCGAUACUGCCGUGCUUGAGGACUGGAGAGGAGACUGGAAUUUACGGUGUAGCGGUGAAAUGCGUAGAUAUCGUAAGGAAGACCAGUGGUGAAGGCGGGUCUCUGGACAGUUCCUGACGCUGAGGCACGAAGGUCAGGGGAGCAAACGGG